UAUUGGAGGGCAAGUCUGGUGCCAGCAGCCGCGGUAAUUCCAGCUCCAAUAGCGUAUAUUAAAGUUGUUGCGGUUAAAACGUUCGUAGUUGAACUUGUGCUUCAUACGGGUAGUACACCUAUAAUUUGGGUUUGUACGUUACCUUAUUGUAUGUAAGCGUAUUACCGGUGGAGUUCUAAUAUAUUAUAAUUUAUUAUGAUAUAUAACUCCUAUUUAAACCUGCUUCAGUGCUCUUUACCGAGUGUUGUUGUGGGCCGGUACAAUUACUUUGAACAAAUUAGAGUGCUUAAAGCAGGCUCCAAAUGCCUGAAUAUUUUGUGCAUGGAAUAAUGGAAUAAGACCUCUGUUCUACUUUCAUUGGUUUUUAGAUCAAGAGGUAAUGAUUAAUAGAAGCAGUUGGGGGCAUUAGUAUUACGACGCGAGAGGUGAAAUUCUUGGACCGUCGUAAGACUAACUUAAGCGAAAGCAUUUGCCAAAGAUGUUUUCAUUAAUCAAGAACGAAAGUUAGAGGUUCGAAGGCGAUCAGAUACCGCCCUAGUUCUAACCAUAAACGAUGCCAGCUAGCAAUUGGGUAUAGCUACUAUUAUGGCUUUCUCAGUCGCUUCCCGGGAAACCAAAGCUUUUGGGCUCCGGGGGAAGUAUGGUUGCAAAGCUGAAACUUAAAGGAAUUGACGGAA
rnacentral:rRNA from 1 species